rnacentral:rRNA from 1 species
GGUGAACGCUGGCGGCGUGCCUAAUACAUGCAAGUCGAGCGAAUGGAUUAAGAGCUUGCUCUUAUGAAGUUAGCGGCGGACGGGUGAGUAACACGUGGGUAACCUGCCCAUAAGACUGGGAUAACUCCGGGAAACCGGGGCUAAUACCGGAUAACAUUUUGAACCGCAUGGUUCGAAAUUGAAAGGCGGCUUCGGCUGUCACUUAUGGAUGGACCCGCGUCGCAUUAGCUAGUUGGUGAGGUAACGUCGCACCAAGGCAACGAUGCGUAGCCGACCUGAGAGGGUGAUCGGCCACACUGGGACUGCGACACGGCCCAGACUCCUACGGGAGGCAGCAGUAGGGAAUCUUCCGCAAUGGACGAAAGUCUGACGGAGCAACGCCGCGUGAGUGAUGAAGGCUUUCGGGUCGUAAAACUCUGUUGUUAGGGAAGAACAAGUGCUAGUUGAAUAAGCUGGCACCUUGACGGUACCUAACCAGAAAGCCACGGCUAACUACGUGCCAGCCGCCGCGGUAA